rnacentral:misc_RNA from 1 species
AAGUCGUAACAAGGUUUCCGUAGGUGAACCUGCGGAAGGAUCAUUACAGUGUUCCCUGCCCUUCGGGGUAGGAUCGCCACCCUUGAUUAUUUAUGAGUGUUGCUUUGGCGGGCCUCGCGGCCUGGCCGCGCCCCGGCUUCGGCGGGGGAGCGCCCGCCAGAGGAUUCUACAAACCUGAUUAUUAGUGUCGUCUGAGUACUAUAUAAUAGUUAAAACUUUCAACAACGGAUCUCUUGGUUCUG